GUCGAGCGCGAAAGUUCUUCGGAAUGAGUAAAGCGGCGGACGGGUGAGUAACGCGUGGGAAUCUGCCUGGUAGUGGGGGACAACAGUCGGAAACGACUGCUAAUACCGCAUACGCCCUACGGGGGAAAGGGGGGGAUCUUCGGACCUCUCGCUAUCAGAUGAGCCCGCGUCGGAUUAGCUUGUUGGUGAGGUAAAGGCUCACCAAGGCGACGAUCCGUAACUGGUCUGAGAGGAUGAUCAGUCACACUGGAACUGAGACACGGUCCAGACUCCUACGGGAGGCAGCAGUGGGGAAUAUUGGACAAUGGGGGCAACCCUGAUCCAGCCAUGCCGCGUGUGUGAAGAAGGCCUUCGGGUUGUAAAGCACUUUCAGUGGGGAGAAAGGUGGUUUGGUUAAUAACCGAAUCAAUUGAUGUUACCCACAGAAGAAGCACCGGCUAACUCCGUGCCAGCAGCCGCGGUAAUACGGAGGGUGCAAGCGUUAAUCGGAAUUACCGGGCGUAAAGCGUACGUAGGUGGUUUGUUAAGCCAGCUGUGAAAUCCCCGGGCUCAACCUGGGCACUGCAGUUGGAACUGGCAAGCUAGAGUAGGGUAGAGGGGUGUGGAAUUCCAGGUGUAGCGGUGAAAUGCGUAGAUAUCUGGAGGAACAUCAGUGGCGAAGGCGACACCCUGGACUCAUACUGACACUGAGGUACGAAAG
rnacentral:rRNA from 1 species